rnacentral:misc_RNA from 1 species
GAGACCUCACUGUUUGUAUUGUGUUGUAGCAGGGCGCAUGCACAGAGAUGGUACAAAGCAUUGCACGAGUAAUUGGCUGCAGCGGGUCCGCUUCGUUUGCAGCGGAUAAGAGUCGCAUCUUUUUUCCGGCUGACAAUGGCGUGGUCGUAGUGGAGGACGGCGGUGAACACCUUUGGCUUCCGUUUCCCAGUGGGAAGUACCCGAUUGACAAAGUCGCCAUCAGCUCUUCCGGCGUGCUGUGUGUAACGGAGAAGAGGCUGCGGGUUGCGCUGCAUUUCUUCGAUGCCACCUCUCUCCAUAGCCUCGGCUGCACUGAAACAGAAAUCUCCGUAAGUGUCGCAGACAUCGUGUUUUCUGCUGAUGGGACGGAGCUUUUUGUUCUUGCAACGGUGCCUGACACUGCUGUGACAGUUUUUCGCCGGAGCACGCGGAGCGGCGCUUACAGUUUCGCCGACUGCGUCCCUCUCCGCCACAGCGGAGAGCCAAAGUCGCUGCUCGCUGGCGGUCUUGAGGAGGCGGUUGUGCGCUUCGCCAUAUGCAGAAGCGACGGCAUUGUGGGCUACUCGCACGGGGACGAUGGCAAGAGCUUUCAGAAGUGCCUUUUUGUUGAGGCGCGCGUAGAGAGUGCGUGCACCUCAGGGCCAAACAUGGUGUGCUACGCCACGAAGGAGGGGUCCGUGCAUGUGUACUCGCACGACAGCCAGACAACCCGCGAGGUCUGCGAAGCCCCAGCGGCAGGUGGCGCAGUUGCGAUGCUUGCGCUGGACGGCACUGCUUUUAUCUUCACGUGCUCAGGGGCCUUGCUAUCUGUCGACCUGACUGAAGGUACCUGUCGCAGCCUCUCCCUCGGUUACCUGCCUUCCUGCACAAGUCGCAUCGCUGCGACGAGCGGAGGCGAGCUGUUGCUGAGCACGCAGAGAGGCUUGCUCGCGGUGACAGUGCCGACGGCGACUAUCCGCGGAGGUGCUGCGCCGCGCCUCGUGAAGGGCUGGACGGAAGCCUCUACACUCAGGUGCCUUUCUGUAAACGGCGGGGCCUUGGUAGCGUGGGUGUUGCGGGAUGGCAGCGUGGCCCUCUACGAAAGGAACGCUGUGAGGGUUUUCGCCUCUUGUGGAGCGCGGGGGCCGGCGGUGCACGUGUGUGUGCUUAGCGCUUCUCAGAUUGCGAUCUUGUUCGAGGACGCCACGGUCGUCUGCUUUGACUGCAUGGGCGGGAAAGAUGUGUGGGCCCACAAGUGCUUGGAGUGCACUCCUAUUUUUCUUGAGGCGGAUGGGUGUGGCGCGUUGGCAUGCUGUGGUCGAGACGCCGUGCGGUUUUUGAGCUGCCUUGGUGACAGCGUGGAGGAUCGUGGCAUCGUACGCGCCACUCUUCUUGCGUCUAUCUGCUUGGCAAGGUGGGUACCGUCGGAGACGAAUCUGCUUGUCGUGUGCGAAAAUGGUGACGCCUUCCUUAUUGAGGCGCCGGACGACGGAGACGCCAUGACGACGCACCCUGCCGAAACGCUUGUGCGCAAGUGGUGGAGACUCGACUUUCCAAUCACGGAUGCACUUGUGUGCUACGCUACCCCUGAAGUGCUCAACCUAUUUGUACACUCGGCAGACCACGACUCCAAGGUGUACACGCUCGACCGCCAACGCGAGGGUGACGUAAAGGUGUCACGGCCUCUGUUUCUCAUUCACGACCACAGCAGCGGUGGCAGUUGCCUCCUGCGUCUCAACGAUGCAACAGUGAUUUCGUGUGGCCGGGACGGCAGCAUCGCCGCGCGGGAUUUGACGCCGUACCAGGUGCAAAUGACCCCGAUCCCCCCCUCGCGUGAAAAGCGCAAGCCGCUCUGGAUACACGCCGCGCGCUCCUCGUUCUGCGGUGGUAUCACGACGGCGGCCAUCGCUGACGCCGGGGCGGAGGUGGUCUGCGGCGGCGAUGAUGGAGUGAUGCAGUGUGUUGCGUUGAAAGCGCAAGGUGCCCAAGCCACGUGGCAGGAGCCGGAGUGGACGCACGCGGUGAGAGCGCGACUGGGCACUGCUGAGGACGAGGCGACCGUUGUACAGGCAAGUGACGCGGCGCCAGAGCGGGAGGCUCUCCUCCGCGAGCUGUCCCGCGUGCGUGAGCUGUGGGCGAAGGCGAUGAGUGAAAAGGACGCUGAUGUUCCUCUCGAGGCUUUCCUGACACCGGAGCAGCGCGAGCAGUUUGCGGCCGAAUGUGAAAGCGCCGUGCUCGAGAUGCGCGAGAGACACUACUAUCACGCUAUCCUGAACGAGUACCUCCAGGAUACCAUCAGGAGGCGCUGCUUCGAGGCGAUGGAGGUGACACGUAUGAAGGUGGUGAGCAUGAACACCCCUGGGCUGGAGGUGCACAAUUUCCACAUCCAUCGCAGGACACGGGCCGAGGCAUCGCUUUCUCGCAAAGCACUGUUUCUCCGCCAGCUGCAAGAGAAGGUUUCUGCUGGUCGACGCACGCCUCCUGGCAUGCAGAUCGUGUCCAAGACCGCGACGCACGUGGCUGUCAGCCCUAGCGGAGCUGAAGACUUCGACGCUGCCAUGCUGAACGACGCGGAUGUUUACACUCAGUGCCGCAUGGUACUUCAGUCUCUCCUCGUUAAGGGCCGGUCGCUGGUGCUCAAGGACGCCUUCAACGCCUGUUUCACUCACUUGCAAGACCUGAAGAGACAGUCAGUCAUGCAGGUGGAGGAGCGCACGCAGCGCUGCAUUACGAUUGGAAAGCAGUUGGGUAGCCUUCCCGCACAGCUCUUCUCGGCGGUUGUCGACACCGAGGAGAGCCCAAACUCACUAUUCGUUGUCGAGGACAAGGAGCUUGGCGCUGAGGCGCGGGCACUGAUCGCUCCUUCCAAGGGGACAGUUGUUGUGUCCCCGGUGGAUGAGGCGGCCUUGCACUUGUGGAUGGACGGCCUGGAAAAGGAGGUGGAGCGGCUGGAGGUGCAUGUGCCGUUGCCGGACUUCGCAGACGACACGCGCGACACCUUCGUCCCGCCAGAGGAGCGCACGGAGGAGCAGACGCGCAUCGUCGAGGCCUACGCGAAGAGACUCAAGGAGGAGAACGAGCGCGUCGAGGGAAAGAGGGAGGCGCUGCGUGGCGAGUUCAGGGCGCUGCAGGAAAAAAACCGGGAAGCGGCCGAGACGCUAGACGAGCAGCUUCGUCAGAUUCGCCAGCUCCGGCUGAGCACAGCCGAGGAAGUCGAUGAGGCGGAGCUGCAGCUCGCCCUACUUUUUCAGCAUCGGUUGUGCGUCAGCGCCGCAUAUCGACAGCAUCGAUCCUUGGCUCGCGAACGAGAGGCUCUCCGUGACGGGCUGACAGGCGCAGAGUCGAUUGCGGCACGGCAGAAGCGCACGCUGACUGCAGCGCAGGCUCGGCUGACCGCAGCGGAGAGCAAAACGGACAGCUACGCGGCGAGCGCCAGGCUCUUGUCGCCGUUUGAUGACGGGGCGACGGGCGAGAAGCUGCAUCGGCGCUUUGUUCGAUGGCAGCGGCGCUUCGAGGACGGCAAGGCGCCGCUGCCGGAUGCCGACACGCCCGCACCAGACUGCACGGCGGAGCAGUGGGCAGCUUUCUGCGAGCACUGCCAGACAGUAGCUAAGCUGCAGCAGCUGGCCGACGGGGCCGAGGCAGAGGUGCAGCGAGCUGCUGAGGAUUUUCGGGAGGCGCAGCAGCACUGCAAACUCAUCGCGCAUCAGAUAGACGCCACAGGGGAGGAGAUGGACGCCGUCCGCGAGAGCUCAGUGACGCGUCUUCUCGACGUCCACGCCUUGUGCCGGCUGCACCAGGGCCAAAUCCAAGACGAGAGUGCCACGACCGCGACGGCUUUUUCGUCUUCCAACCUGCGGUGGCACAACGACGUGGCCCAGUACAACGAUCUCAUUCUCCAAAGCGACGCGGAGAGCCGCGCGCUCCUCAACAAGGUGUUUGCUCGCCGAAAGCUGAUGAAGCUGCUGGAGUGGGAGGGGGAGCGGCUUAGGCACUGCGCGGGGACGCUGCAGCUGGAGCUGCGACAGCUGCAUACCCUUCGUGUCACCCGCCAGAUGCAGGAGUGGCUCAACGGCGAGGUGGACUUGUCGGAGGAAAAGACGCUCGCGCAUAUUCAGCGCCACAUGGACCUCGUGGAGACAAACAUGAGUCGAAAAGUAGAGGAGCUGAGGGGCGUCGUGCGCCAGUUGAAGAACCAGAUUGCUGAGCGCGUGACAGAAAACACAAUCGUUGGUGCGCAGUGUGGCGACCUCGACGACACAGUGCGUGCCAAGGGGGCAGUUUACCGCCUGGUCGAGACGCGCGCGGAUGGCUCGCACGCACGUGCUGCGCGGGCGAAAGAGAUUUUUGUCACCAGCGAGCUAGAGGAGCUGGCUCGGUCACAGCAGGAGGAACUAGUGCGACUAAAGCGCGAGGUGGAUCGCCUGCGGGAGCGUACGUUCCCGUCCUUUGCCGUUGUGUCGAAGCAGACGCGCUAGUAAGCUCUCUUGCAUGAAUUUAUUGAUGUAUGAUGAGGGUGAGUAUGUCUGGCGAGAAGAUGUACAUGAAACCUGCGUGCUCUUGUGUGCAUGUUUUGCUUUUGUUUUCAUGUCGUUCAAUUGCUCUCUGUUCCCCGUGCAAUGGAUCUAC